UACGUAGGUGGCAAGCGUUGUCCGGAUUUACUGGGCGUAAAGAGCGCGCAGGCGGUCGAUCAAGUCGCGUGUGAAAGCCCCCGGCUCAACUGGGGAGGGUCACACGAUACUGAUCGACUCGAAGGCAGGAGAGGGUAGUGGAAUUCCCGGUGUAGUGGUGAAAUGCGUAGAUAUCGGGAGGAACACCAGUGGCGAAGGCGACUACCUGGCCUGUUUCUUGACGCUGAGGCGCGGAAGCUAGGGGAGCAAACGGG
rnacentral:rRNA from 1 species